UACGUAGGGGGCUAGCGUUGUCCGGAUUUAUUGGGCGUAAAGAGCGUGUAGGCGGCCAUGUAGGUCCGGUGUGAAAACUCGAGGCUUAACCUCGAGAUGUCAUCGGAAACCAUUUGGCUAGAGUCCGGAAGAGGAGAGUGGAAUUCCUGGUGUAGCGGUGAAAUGCGCAGAUAUCUGGAGGAACACCGGUGGCGAAGGCGGCAUCCUGGACCGGUAUUGACGCUGAUGCGCGAAAGCCAGGGGGAGCAAACAGGG
rnacentral:rRNA from 1 species